rnacentral:rRNA from 1 species
CACCUUUUGACUGCCCGGACCGCCACAGAGAUGUGGUUUUCCCUUCGGGGACCGGGACACAGGUGCUGCAUGGCUGUCGUCAGCUCGUGUCGUGAGAUGUUGGGUUAAGUCCCGCAACGAGCGCAACCCUCGCCUUUAGUUGCCAUCAUUAAGUUGGGCACUCUAAAGGGACCGCCGGUGGUAAGCCGGAGGAAGGUGGGGAUGACGUCAAGUCCUCAUGGCCCUUACAGGGUGGGCUACACACGUGCUACAAUGGCGACUACAGAGGGCAGCAAACCAGCGAUGGGGAGCCAAUCCCAAAAAGUCGUCUCAGUUCGGAUUGUUCUCUGCAACUCGAGAGCAUGAAGUCGGAAUCGCUAGUAAUCGCGGAUCAGCAUGCCGCGGUGAAUACGUUCCC